AAACUUAAAGGAAUUGACGGGGACCCGCACAAGCAGCGGAGCGUGUGGUUUAAUUCGUUGCUACACGAAGAACCUUACCUGGGUUUGACAUAUAGGUUGUAGGGAACUGAAAGGGACCGACCCUUCGGGGAGCCUAUACAGGUGUUGCAUGGCUGUCGUCAGCUCGUGUCGUGAGAUGUUCGGUUAAGUCCGCUAACGAGCGCAACCCUCGUCGUAUGUUAUAUGUGUCAUACGAGACUGCCGGUAAAAGCCGGAGGAAGGUGAGGAUGAUGUCAAGUCAGCAUGACCUUUAUAUCCAGGGCUACACACACGCUACAAUGGUCUGUACAAUGGGUAGCCAAGCCGCGAGGCGGAGCCAAUCCUGAAAGCAGGCCUCAGUUCAGAUUGCAGUCUGCAACUCGACUGCAUGAAGCCGGAGUUGCUAGUAACCGCAGGUCAGCAAUACUGCGGUGAAUACGUUCCCGGGUCUU
rnacentral:rRNA from 1 species